AACGCACCUUGCGCUCUUGGGUCAUUCCUGAGAGCAUGCUUGUUUGAGUGUCGCAAACUUCUCAACCCCACUUAUUUAAUUAUAAGUAGCUUGGGUUUGGAUCAUGGUUGCUGUCGAGUUGAGACACACUUGACUCAGCUGAAAUGUAACAAGCUACAUCAAAGUACUUUGCGGCUCGAACUAUCGUUGUAGAACUUUCAAAUUCGAUAGUAACGCAAAAGAUGUUUGAAUAAGCUUCAAAUCAUGAAAAACACUGUUGAAAGUUCAUCACAGUGCAUUCAGACCUCAAAUCAAGUAGGACUACCCGCUGAACUUAA
rnacentral:misc_RNA from 2 species